UUUUUUUUUGUCUUUUUGCAUUUCUAGGGCCACUUCUGUGGCAUAUGAAGGUUCCCAGCUAGGGGUCUAAUCGGAGUUGUAGCCGAUGGCCUACACCAGAGCCACAGCAACGUGGGAUCUGAGCCAUCUGCAACCUACACCACAGCUCACGGCAACACCCGAUCCUUAACCCACUGAGCAAGGCCAGGGAUUGAACCCGCAACCCUAUGGUUCCUAGUCGGAUUCGUUAACCACUGAGCAAUGACGGGAACUCCAAUAGUGGAAUAAUAUUAAUAAUGGAAUAGUAUUUGGUCAUACAAAUAAUGGAGUUCUGAUACAUGGUACAAUGUGGAGCAACUCUAGAAACAUUAUACUAAAUUAAAGAAGCCACAAAAGACCACAUACUGUAUGAUUCCAUGGAUAUGAAAAUGCAAGAUCUGGCUAGCUGUCAAGACAGAAAGUAGAUUUAUGGUUGCUUAUGGCUGGGGGGUUAGGGGUGGCAAGAAUGGUUAUUGAAUAUAAUUCUCUGUGCUGUAUGAUAGGACCUCGUUGGUAUCCAUUCUAUGUAUAAUAGUUUGCAUCUGCUAGCCCCAAACUCCCAAUCCAUUCCUCUCCGCACUCCCUCAGCAACCAUAAGUGCUUUCUCUAUGUCUGUAAGUUUAUUUCUGUUUUGUAGAUAAGUUCAUCUGUGUCAUAUUUUAGAUUCCACGUACAAAUGAUAUCAUAUGGUAUUUGUCGUUCUUUUUCUGACUUAAUUCACUUAGUAUGAUAAUCUCUAGGUCCAUCCGUUUUGCUGCAAAUGGCACUAUUUUAUUCUUCUUAUGGCUGAGUAGUAGUCCGUUGUACAUAUGUACCACGUUUUCUUUAUCCAUUCAUCUGUUGAUGGACACUUAUGUCUUGGCUGUUGUAAACAGUGCUGCUGUGAACAUAAGGAUGCAUGCAUCUUUUCGAAUUAUAUUUGUCACGAUAUAUGCCUAGGAGUGGGCUUGCGGGAUCGUAUAGCAAUUCUGUUGUUUUGUUUUGUUUUUUGUCUUUGUAGGGCCAUACCCAUGGCAUAUGGAGGUUCCCAGGCUAGAGGUCAAACUGCAGUUGCAGCCACCAUCCUACACCACAGCCACAGCAACAUCCCAUCCGAGUCUGCGACCUACACCACAGCUCAGGCCAAUGGCGGGGAUGGCAGUGCCCACUGAGCAAGACCAGGGAUGGAACCCGUGUCCUCAUGGAUACUAGUCAGGUUUGUUUCUGCUGCACAAUGACAGGAACUCAUAAGGUAUUUUUUUAAUAACAGUUAUACCCCUUACCAGCCACUGCUCUAGGAAAAGAUGGAGGUAGCGAAAAGAUACAUGAACAGGAAACAGAGCAACAUGCAGAUUAUUGUUCUCCUCAAGUAAUUUUCUCAGGUAUCUUGAAUAUACUGUAAGCAUUAUGAAUCUCUUUGGAACCUGAAUACACAGAUGUUAAGCACAAAAUUUAUGGUAUCAGCUUUACUAAAUGAUGUGGCAGGUUUUCUUUUUUGCUCUUGUUCUUUCUUCUCAUCUUCCCAUUACUUUCAAUAACAAGAUUCUGUAUCCACAAUUUCCUUAGUGAAAAGUACUAAGAGCUUCUAGUUUUCUAUUCUCCCCCCACCAUGGGAAUAAAUUUAAAAUGUCAAUUCACUAGGCCAGCUGAUUUACGGCUAC
rnacentral:lncRNA from 1 species